UAUUGUUGUCGGAUUUAGGGUCUGAAAAACUCGAACAUUGUUGUGUUUCCAUCACCUUCAUCUCUUGAAUAUGUCUGUGAGAAUGGAGUCAAAUAUUAACACAAUAUUC
rnacentral:snoRNA from 1 species